rnacentral:rRNA from 2 species
AAACCCCAGUGGGCGAAGGCGGCCACCUGGACUGAUACUGACCUUGAGGUGCGAAAAGCGUGUGGAGCAAACAGGAUUAGAUUCCAGGUAGUCCACGCCGUAAAACGAUGUCAACUAGCCGUUGGAUGCCUUGAGCUCUUAGUUCGCAGACUAACGCAUUAAGUUGACCGCCCUGGGGAGUACGCCCGCAAGGUUAAAACUCUAAAUGAGAUUUGAGCGGGGGCCCGCACACAACGGUGGAGACACAUGUGUUUAAUUUGAAGCACACGCGAAGAGACCUCUUCCAGGCUUUGCUCAUGNACUUUCUCGAGAUAGAUUGGUGCCUUUUGGGAACAUUGAGAGCAGGUGCUGCAUGGCUGUGUGUCACCUCGUGUCGUGAGAUGUUGGGUUAAGUCCCGUCACGAGCGCAACCCUUGUCCUUAGUUACCAGCACGUUAUGGUGGGCACUCUAAGGAGACUGCCGGUGACAAACCGGAGGAAGGUGGGGAUGACGUCAAGUCAUCAUGGCCCUUACGGCCUGGGCUACACACGUGCUACAAUGGUCGGUACAGAGGGUUGCCAAGCCGCGAGGUGGAGCUAAUCCCAUAAAACCGAUCGUAGUCCGGAUCGCAGUCUGCA